rnacentral:rRNA from 1 species
CCUACGGGUGGCAGCAGUGAGGAAUAUUGGUCAAUGGCCGGAAGGCUGAACCAGCCAAGCCGCGUGAGGGAGGAAGGCGCAGAGCGUCGCAGACCUCUUUUGCCGGGGGACAAAAGGCCGGACUCGUCCGGUCCUGAGGGUACCCGGAGAAAAAGCAUCGGCUAACUCCGUGCCAGCAGCCGCGGUAAUACGGAGGAUGCGAGCGUUAUCCGGAUUUAUUGGGUUUAAAGGGAGCGUAGGUGGAUUGUUAAGUCAGUUGUGAAAGUUUGCGGCUCAACCGUAAAAUUGCAGUUGAAACUGGCAGUCUUGAGUACAGUAGAGGUGGGCGGAAUUCGUGGUGUAGCGGUGAAAUGCUUAGAUAUCACGAAGAACUCCGAUUGCGAAGGCAGCUCACUGGACUGCAACUGACACUGAGGCUCGAAAGUGUGGGUAUCAAACAGGAUUAGAUACCCCUGUAGUC